UACAGAGGUCUCGAGCGUAGGCGGAAUCACUGGGCUUAAAGCGUGUGUAGGCGGCGGGCUAAGUACCUUGUGAAAUCCCACGGCUUAACUGUGGAACUGCUGGGUAUACUGGUUCGCUUUGAGCGGUCUAGGGGGCGAGCGGAACAAAUGGUGGAGCGGUGAAAUGCGUAGAUAUCAUUUGGAACGCCAACGGUGAAAACAGCUCGCUGGGGACCUGCUGACGCUGAGACAGAAAGCCAGGGGAGCGAACGGG
rnacentral:rRNA from 1 species